rnacentral:rRNA from 1 species
AUUGAACGCUGGCGGCAGGCCUAACACAUGCAAGUCGAGCGGUAGCACAGAGAGCUUGCUCUCGGGUGACGAUCGGCGGACGGGUGAGUAAUGUCUGGGAAACUGCCUGAUGGAGGGGGAUAACUACUGGAAACGGUAGCCAAUACCGCAUAACGUCGCAAGACCAAAGUGGGGGACCUUCGGGCCUCAUGCCAUCAGAUGUGCCCAGAUGGGAUUAGCUGGUAGGUGGGGUAACGGCUCACCUAGGCGACGAUCCCUAGCUGGUCUGAGAGGAUGACCAGCCACACUGGAACUGAGACACGGUCCAGACUCCUACGGGAGGCAGCAGUGGGGAAUAUUGCACAAUGGGCGCAAGCCUGAUGCAGCCAUGCCGCGUGUGUGAAGAAGGCCUUCGGGUUGUAAAGCACUUUCAGCGGGGAGGAAGGCGAUGAGGUUAAUAACCUCAUCGAUUGACGUUACCCGCAGAAGAAGCACCGGCUAACUCCGUGCCAGCAGCCGCCGUAA